rnacentral:rRNA from 1 species
CUUCUUGAAUUGAUUUGAAGUCUUACCUGCUCACUGAAUAUUGAAGAGCCGCAGUAUAUUGACUGUGCAAAGGUAGCAUAAUCAUUAGUUUAUUAAUUAUGAACUGGAAUGAAUGGUUUAACGAAUUUAUGACUGUCUAUAUUAUUAAUAAUUGAAAUUUAUUUUUGAGUUAAAAGGCUUAAAUGUUAUUAAGGGACGAGAAGACCCUAUAGAUCUUUAUAAUUUAUUUUUAAAAAUAUUUAGUUUAUCAAUAUUAUUAAUAAAUUAUUUAAUUGGGGUGAUUUGAGAAUAUAUAAACUUCUUAUAAUAGUACUUUUAUAAAAGAGUUAAUGAUUUUAUAUUACGGAAUAUAGAUAAAGAUACCUUAGGGAUAACAGCGUAAUUUCAUUUGAGAGUUCAAAUUGACAAUGAAGAUUGCGACCUCGAUGUUGGAUUAAAAUUAAUUAAUAAUGUAGCAGUUAUUAUUUAUGGUCUGUUC